UUGCACAUGCCUUCCAAACUAAUUAGUCAUUUCAUAGUUUUUUUACGGCAUUUGAUCUUGAAUAGAAAAUAAUUUAAAUAUUGUUGACUGUAACUCAAAAAUAAAAUUCUUGAAAAAAUAUAUACACCAUAUGAAGCAAACACAUGGAAAACAGUUGUAGUACACGUGCAAGUUCUAUAGUACUACAUUUUUUUCUCCGUCAAAUUUUAUAAUUGAAAUUCCUUACGUAUUCAACACAAACCACAUCUUUCAAUCACUUUUAUCUAUCUUUUAUGUUUCUUGUAAAAAAUUUUCUUCAGCCUGCUGAGUUUUCAAUUCUGUUCGUUUCAUAUUUUGUUAUCAUUCAUUUCGGCAAGGACCAAUGUUUGCAACCACUCUGCCGGAAACAUAUUUAAGCCACAAUAUAAUAUUAUUGCCGUAUAUAGUGGCAUCGCAACGCCAAAAGGAGCCCAUCGUUAUCAGCCAACAGUCCAACACUAUCAGGUAUUGCCACCUACAUGGUGAAGAGGUGAACGGCAGGAUGAUGGUAGUUAGCCGCAGGUGACGAUGACGAUGAUAGUGACGACAUAAUCCUGUUAAUUAUUGGAUGAAGAAAAAGAAGAUAAUAGUGUUGGAGAGAGCAAGAGAGAAGAGAUUAAAGAAAGGAGAAGAUUGAAGAGUCCUGAAAAGUUAAGAAGAUAAAGGGUUAACUAUGUCAUUUCAAGUUACCCAACGAAGCCAGUUGGAGCCUUCAUCCAAAUUGGGAUUAUUAUAUAUAUAAUAUGUCGAUCUACGUGGAAUUGGAAUAAUUUAUAGUAUAAAAAUAAAGUGGUGAUACAGAGCCCUACUAAAUAGGGCUAAAUAUUAGCCUAACUUUAAAUUUUUACCAUAUGUUAAUUUUAAUGUUAACAUAUAAUCCAGAUUGGUUUUAUUCUAAUUUUACCCUGUAUUAAUUUAGAGAAUAUAAUUUCCAUUUAUCCCUUUCA